GGGGUUAAUACCAUAGAGUAAGCUGUUCUGCCAGGUUUAGCUAUGUCCACUUCCCCUCACCUUGGGAGGAACUAGGUAACUAGGAACUAUUGUUCUCUCCCAGUCUACCCGAGGAGCUAAGUGUGUGAAGAUGCCUGGCUCUCACAAGCCACUCUUAAGUUCCUAUGCCAAUAAUUUAGGAACUUUCACUACUUUGAAAACCAUUUUUAACUUACCAAACGUGUGGUCUUUUUCUAUGCUAGGGGAAGAGGGAAGUUUUGGAACUCACAAAGGCAUAUUUUAAAGGCCCAACAGCCUGUGUUUCCUACAUAUUUUGAGAUAUUAAAUAUCUCUUAGGGGUUCUCUCAUCAAAGAGUGCUUGCCCCUAACUUGGAUCUUGGCAUCCAAGGUUUCCCUGUUUAUACCGUUUCCCACCUUGAACCAACACUCUCACUGCUGUUUUUCUAGAAAAAGAGAUGCCGGAACUGACCAUGAAAGCCUCCUUUGUUCUCUCAUAACGGCAAUGGUGCCCACCUGAGAGGUGCCGGCACUGGGUUCUGGCGAGUUCCGGCUGGGGAAAAGUCCUGACAGCACUCACCAGGAGGCAGCACUUCUUUUGCUGCUAAUGGCAGCCAUCUUGGGCUGCCACUAUAGCACUUUUUAGCAAUGUAUGAAUACCUCAUAUUUUACCAAGAAAAGCCACUGUGCAUAACAUAACAUAACAUAAAAUGCUGGGAUAGCUCAGUCGGUAGAGCACAAGACUCUUAAUCUCAAGGUUGUAUUGGACUAGAUGACCCUUGUGGUCCCUUCCCAUUCUACAGUUCUAUAACAUAUGGCACAGGCCCGGUUGACAUAAUGUUUUCCCCUCAGACAAUUGUUCAGACAAUGCUGAUACUAUAGCAUUCAAAGCAUCUGAAAGAAUAUCCAUCUAUACAUUGUGACCCUUCUCAGAGAAAUACUCCAAACAACGUCUCUCUUACAAACGAGAGGCCACUUUUAUGCAACCUCCAUGUGGAGCAGAGACAGGAUGCUCCUUCACUAUACAAUGAGAAUCAUUGGGCUGGGUAAACAAGCUCAUGGAUACUACAAAAAGGGGGAAAGGAGGUCGAACCUUGUUCAGUGUAAGGGCCACAUCCCCUUCUGGCCAACCUUCCAGGAGUGAUGUACUAGUGAUGGGCAGGGCCACAGGCAAAACUGGCCAGAGCCAUGUAUGUAAAUUUUACCUUUAUACCAUAGGCUAGUUCCUUCACACACCCCUCUUUAUCUUUCAUCCAGGCAAGCAAGAGGCAUUUUCAGAGGACACAUUCCAGCCAGGCGAAACCAACAUAUCAAGAUGCAAAGCAGAGCUGGUAAGCUGCGGCAUGACCUGGGAAGAGCGGGGUGUGACUGGGGAGGGGAUUUGGCCUGGAGAGAGUCUCAAGGGCCAGAGAGAAAGGCCUGGGGGGCCUGCGCCUCAAAUAGGGAUGGGAGACACUGACAAUUUUGGUGUCUCUCUUGACUGGAGAUAUUGCAUUCAGAGAAGAGCAGAUUUUGAAGGAAAUCUGUGUUUCAUUUCUUAGCAUGAAAUUUGGAAAUUGCAAUUAGGUAAAAGGUAAAGGGACCCCUGACCAUUAGGUCCAGUCGCAGACAACUCUGGGGUUGCGGCGUUCAUCUCGCUUUAUUGGCCGAGGGAGCCGGCGUACAGCUUCCGGGCCGUGGCCAGCAUGACUAAGCCGCUUCUGGUGAUCCAGAGCAGCGCACGGAAACACCUUCCUGCCGGAGCAGUACCUAUUUAUCUACUUGCACUUUGACGUGCUUUCGAACUGCUAGGUUGGCAGGAGCAGGGACCGAGCAACGGGAGCUCACCCGGUCGUGGGGAUUCGAACCGCCGACCUUCUGAUUGGCAAGUCCUAGGCUCUGUGGUUUAACCUACAGCACCAUCGGCGUCCCUUGCUAUUAGGUAGUUUUGCCUUUAAAUGCAAUCUGAGCUGAAUUUAUCCCCCAUGCCUAGUCCCAUCUCCCUUAAGUACUUAGCAAUGCCCCUGCUUUUUGGUUAUAUUAAAUGGCCAUCUGCAGCUAGGUUUUUGCAUAUAGCCUGUCACCUAAUGGGCUGUUAAGUCUGAAUUACUGGCUCUGAUUGCAGAAGGCUACUCCAAGCUACUGGAAUAUGUGCCUAGGUAGAAGCAGAGGAUGUAGUUUUUGCAGUAUGACACUGGGAGAGAGGAAUGAAAAUAACCUUUGAGUUGAGAUUUUACUGGGAAGGUCGCUAGGAGGUUUCUGACUGGCAAGAAUUGGCCUUUGUGUGUGCAAGUGCUUUUGUGGACUGGUGCUGGCUUGUACUAGAACUACCUAUGCACAUUUGCUUCUUAUCACUCAUGAGGCACGUUUGUAAAGUCUAUAGACAUUUUUAAAGCCCCACAAAUCUCUGUUCACAUGGGAACUGACCUUUUAAAAGGCGACUCCAGGAAUAAAAUAAAUAAUCAGAUGGCAAAACUUCUAUGUAAGGUAACAAUAUCCUUUGCUUCAGAGUGAAUGACAAUGAGUUUGAGUUAACUAACGCAGCAGCAUAUCAAAUCCUCGGGACAGAGACGGUGUCUUCUUGUAAUGUAUUUGCGCCAAAUGCAAAUAGAAUGUAUCAUUUGUUGGUUAAGCUCUAACGGUGCCUAAUAACGGAAAACAAUGAGAUCAGAAUUGCAAAUCUGACUUAGGCUGUGUAUCACUUUUAACCACUAAUCACUCACAGGAUGAAAUAUUAUUAUUAAUGUAGGUAAAGGUAAAAGACCCGGGAUGGUUAAGUCCAGUCAAAAGCUCAUCUCGCUUUAGGCUGAGGGAGCCAGCGUUUGUUCACAGACAGCUUUCCGGGUCAUGUGGCCAGCAGGACUAUACCACUUCUGGCACAACGGGAUACCAGGACAGGAGCCAGACUUAACCGUCAGGGGGUCCUUUGCUCUUUUUUUACCUUUACCUUUACUGUGACUGGCAGCUGAGGUUUCAGGCAGAGGUCCUUCCUACUUAUUGGGCAACCCCACAUUCUAGUAUUAUGGUGUUAUGUACUGAGUUGAAUAGGAUCCAAAAUGCAGCAGUCUGGUUGGUCCUAGAACAAUAGGAUUCAGAAUGCAGCAGUCUGAUUGGUCCUAGAACAAUGCAGCAGCAUGAUUGGUCCGCAGGAGCCACCCAAUCCAGCUCCAGGUGGAAGUGAACCCGCAACCUGAUUGGCCUACAGGAGAAUCCCGGAAUUAGCCCAUCACGUGCAGCCCAUUGUGUAAAUAAUGUAUAUAAAGCAGACAUUUCGGGGGAACUUCCAUUCCUCACUACUGUACUAUGAGCUGAAUAAAGAGCAUGAAAUCCACACUCGACUCCGAGUAUAUUUCAUAUGGCAUGUCAGGCUUCCUCCUAAAACCAGCUAACCAGGGAGGGAGGGAGCUCCUACAGUGAAACAUUCCCAUAUCUUACCUGCGUUGUCCAAGGUAAGCAGAACAACUCAGGUGGCUGCAAGCUGAAACUGCUGCUGUGGGAAGAGAAUUCAGCAGCCCUGCCUGCAUCAGGUUCCUUUCCCUCCCUGAAACUUUCCUUACCAAAUGCAUUGAACUUACAUACCCAAGGGGACCCACAGCAGCGUAUCUAGCUGCUCGGGUGCCCGGGGUGGCAUGUGUGCCCUACUCCUGGGGGUAAGCCGGGGCAAGAGCUGCUUGGUUUUAAGCAAUGAACACCAUUAGAGCUGACCUCGCUUCAGCCUUAGAAAAAAGCCCACAAAGGUUACUUGUCUGCAGAGCAAACAAACAAAAUUACUAGCUGCUAAGAGGGGAGUAUCAAUCAAAUCUUUAUUACGGUCAUAGACCAGCAUAAAUAGGGUGAGGUACAAUCAUUUAAAAUCUAUAAAACAUUUUUGGAAAUCUAAUGUUAUUAAAACAGAAGGUAUAUGUUAAAGACUAUAGGAAACUAAAAGAAGCUAAAAUAAUCUAAAAGAAGGGUUAAGAGCAUUAAACGAAUAAGGAAGAGCAUAAAAGGUUAGUAUAUAAAAGGUUAUGACUAUCAAUUUACAAAGAAAUUUACAAAGCACUCUGAUAUGAGUAUUCAUUAAAUCUAUUUUGUGGCGCAGGUCAUCAACCGAUGAAUUUUGAACGCUGCUAUGCAGAACCUGGCAACAUUGUAUGUUGUAGCAUGGUUGGUGCAUGAAAGUUGCAGGGAGGUAUAGAAUUGUCCUGUGCGUCCUGGGUACUUAUGGAGUAGUGGGGAGAUGAGGCUAAUACGGAUGUCUCUAUAAUAUAGGCGCUGGAGAAGCACAUGCUCUGUAUUUGCUAUUUGAAGAGGGGAGUAACUUCUGUUUUCCAGGGAAGCCCAUAGAGAUGAGGAAACCUGCUACUUUACAGGCAGGAUACAAAUGCAGGCUAGUAGACUCUGAGAAGGCUAGUUAAAAAAAACCCCACAGCCUUUGACCAAACAGUUGGGUAUAGUUACUGAGUUAGGAUGCCUCCUGAGUUUUCCCAGCACUAAUGGACUACCUCUCCCCAUAUGAACUGACCCAGACCCUGUGAUCAUCCUCUGAGGCCAUUCUUCAUGUGCCCACUGCACAGGAGGCCCAGAGGGUGGCAACACAAGAAUGGGCCUUUUCUGCAGUGGCUCCCCUUUUGUGGAAUGUUCUUCCUAGGGAGGCUUGCCAGAAGUCUUUGUUGCAUAUCUUUAGGCAACAGACAAAAACAUCUUUAGCCAGGCCUUUGGCUGACUGGACAUUCUAGGGCUUUUGUGGGUGAUGAGUUAUUGGUGUGUUUUGUACUUGUUUUAUUAUAUAUUUUGUGUUCUCAUGUGGUGUCUUUAUGUUGCGAAUUGCUCUGUGAUCAUCAGGUGAAGUAUACAGUUUCAAUAAAUACAAAUUUGUAUGCAAAUUUUUAAAAUAACAAUGAAUAAAUAAAUUCUGAAGAUUUGCCUAGCUGAGCCCUUAAUUAUAGGAAGAUUGUAUAGUUACUUAUCUCCUUGGUUCGGGGGUCACAUAACUCCAUACUGCCUGUUAUGUACUAAGCUUGGAUCCUAGAACAAUAGGCAGGUAGGAUCCUAGAAUGCAACAACUGAUUGGCUUGCAGGAGAAGACCAAUCAGGCUCCAGGAGGAAGUUUAUCAGCCUAUUAGGCUGGUAAGAUCCUAGAAUGCAACAACUGAUUGGCUUGCAGGAGAAGACCAAUCAGGCUCCAGGAGGGAAGCAGAAUCAGCCAAUCAGACGGGACUCAUUGUGUAAAUACAGUGGUGCCUCGCAAGACGAAAAGAAUCCAUUCUGGGAGUCUCUUCGUCUAGCGGUUUUUUCGUCUUGCGAAGCAAGCCCAUUGAUGGGAUUAGCAGAUUAGCGCUAUUAGCGCUAUUAGCGGCUUUUAGCGGCUUUUAGCGGCUUUUAGCAGCUUAUCAGCUUAUCGGAUAAGCAGAUAAGCGGCUUAGCGACUUAGAACAAGAGGGGGAAAAGGGGGAACAAAAACCAGGAACUCGCAAGACAUUUUCGUCUUGCGAAGCAAGCCCACAGCAGAUUCGUUUUGCGAGGCACCUCCAAAACGGAAAACUCUUUCGUCUAGCGAGUUUUCCGUCUUGCGAGGCAUUCGUCUUGCGGGGCACCACUGUAAUGUAAAGAAAACCUGAGGUUUGGGGGGAAAUUUAAUCACUGUUUUACAAGCUGCAAUAAAGAGCAUGAAAUCACUGCAGGACUCCGAGUAUAUUUCACUCCCCAACAAUUCUCUGAUUAAAUUAGGAACAUCCUAAAGAAAAGUGGGACGUUCCAGGAUCAAAUCAGAAACUGGGACAGCUUCUGUACAUAAAUCUGGGACUGUCCCUGGAAAAUAGGGACACUUGGAGAGUCUGCUUCUUUGCUGGCCAUUUGUACAAUAACAAAAAAACAAAAAACCCAACUAUUCUGCAGUUAAAGGCAAAGCUACGUGUAGUAUGGUCCUGGGAGACCUGCCCCCACCAAAGCAAAGGGGCACAAAAGCAAACUUACCAGCUUUCUGCUCAUCUUCCUUUUCAAGAUGUUGCUUGAGAUCGACUCAGCUUUCCAGCACAGCACGUACCUUUCAUAAUCAAAACACCCAGAAAGCUCUCCUUUGGAUAGAAAAAGAACAAAGGAGGAACCUGCCCACCAGCGGAGGCAUUUGGGGUGUGUGUCUUUCUUAACCUUUUUUAUGGACUCCUGCACUGCUCAGGAACCAGCUUUACCCGGGCUGACAUCUCUCUCCAUAGAAACAUGAGUGGGAAUGGCAGCUAGCAGGAGACCAGUUAGAUCUCUUGCUUACUUCAGAUGUGGCUGUCAGGAGAAAGAUGAAAGUGCCAUUUAUGGCCCCAACACCACCCCUGGAUAAUGAGCAAGCAGAAGCUACAACACAAAAGUUUCUCCAUUUUUGUCUAAGGAGGAGGAGGAGGAAUGGACGCUUUAAGAAGAGGCUAAGCAUCAUUUGUAUUCCUGUUCUAAAUAGAUAACUGAACGGUGGCGACAUCACGGGAAAGAACAUCUCCAAUUCAGCAUCCGCCCAACACAACAUGCGACAGAAUGGCCAACCUUCAGAAUAAAUUAUUUGUUUUUAAGGCUGUGCAUGUCACUUGGCACUAACAUCUAACCGGCAGCUAAGAAGUGUCUUAAGAAAUAAGAAGGGACAGCAGAGAAAACAGAAGCUCAAAGACAGGCAAAGAGGGGAAGAGAGACAGGCAAGGCAUGUCGACAGCAAAGUUUUGAUUCUAUCAAAUUUAUUAGAUGACAGGAUAGAAGCUUGCCUACAUGAGACUAGUCAUCAAAAGCAUACCUUGGCCCUAUAAGACAUUACUGCUAAUUAUAUUUGAAAGAAUUCUUUAAAAGGCAAUACUUUUAAUUGUUUCUAUAGAAUCCUUAUAUUAAUCCCCACAACAGCCCUAUGAACUAAAUAAUUAAUAUCCACAUUCGGCUGUUAAGAUUUUGGUGUAAAAAUGAAGUAACAUUGUCAGUUUUCAGAAGGCUUCUUCUUAAGAACCAGCAGUGGAUUUUUUUAAAAGGGUAAUUGGAGAUUUGACCUGUUAUUUUGACAAGCAACAUAUUUCCUACAUCUAAUUAUUAUUAGCAAUAAUUGUUGUUCCAGUUUAGUUUAGUUUAGUUUUUUUUAAAAAAAAUCCAGAGAGGCAGUUAAUGUCUUGACUGAUCCCUCUUCUUGGUUAUUUUGCUCAGUGCAAAGAGUCACUUGUUAUUUCAGCAGGAGAUAAUAUGAAAAUUGAGAGCGGCAUACCCUCACAGAAAGGGUUCAGAAAUCACCCUUAUGCUUAGGAUGAAGCUGUAACAAUGUGAAAUGUAGUUAUUUAUAGAAGGCUGUCUUAUACCAAGUCAGACCGUUGGUCCAUCUGAAGCAAUUUUGUCUACACUGACUGGAUGUGGUCCUCAAGGGAUGUGGUCCUCAAGCAAACCUUCCAGGAGAUGGUAAGGGGUGAGCCUGGGACCUCCUGCAUGGGCUCAAACCCUGAGCUUUGGUGCUUCAUAAAUACAUCAGACCCCUUAGGAACACAGUAAAGUCUCAAGAUAAGAGAGAUUUAAACGGAGAAUGCAAAAUAAAAAAAUAAAAAUGCUAAUAAUAGUUUGAUGUACCAUUACCACCCCACCCUAACCUCCCCCUCUUCCCCCCUCUUUUAUUCCCAACCUAAUAUUGUAUGCAACACUAAUGUCUCACAACAAAUGAAACUGAUCUGUAGAAAACACAACUUGAAAAAAGAGACAGUGCACCUAUUUUUGUAAACUAAGAAAUCGUUAAUAUUUUUAACAACAACAACAAUAGUUUGGUGUGGGAAGUACGGUAUGUUGCUUGUUAAAAAACAGGUCAAAUGUCCAAUUAUUUUUAUUUUAAAUUUCCCUGCUUUUUCUCCAGAAGAAAAGUCUUCAGGAAACUGACAGCAUUACUUCAUUUUUACACCAAAAUGUUAGCAAUCAAGUCUGGAUAUUUAUGAUUUACCAUAUUUUUUGCUCUAUAAGACUCACUUUUUCCCUCCUAAAAAGUAAGGAGAAAUGUGUGUGCGUCUUAUGGAGCAAAUGCAGGCUGCGCAGCUAUCCCAGAAGCCAGAACAGCAAGAGGGAUUGCUGCUUUCGCUGUGCAGCGAUCCCUCUUGCUGUUCUGGCUUCUGGGAUUCAGAAUAUUUUUUUUCUUGUUUUCCUCCUCCAAAAACUAGGUGCGUCUUGUGGUCUGGUGCAUCUUAUAGAGCGAAAAAUACGGUACUUCAUAGGGCUGUUAUAAUUAAUACAAGGAUUUUAUUUUUUAAAAAAUACAGAUCUUCUCAACCUGAAUUCCCAAACCCUUUGUAUUAAAGCUACAUUUUCAAAGAUCCCUUAUACUGAACAAUUUUUAUCGAUUAUUUCUGCACACACCACAAUCUCCAAGCAGUAAGAUUUCAGGGGUGCCAGUGUGUGCCUCAGGUUUGGCUUCCUUGGAAUGGAGGUUGCUGGAGACAGUGGGGCAUAAGACAUAUAGAGAGGCAAAGCAUAACGUGGAAAGACUCAUAGCAUCAGCACUCCCCCAUUAGGUUUUUGGAUUCGGCACAGAGAGUAAACCAAACCUUUCUCAGUUCUAGCUCAAAAUAUGAGACUGCCCCAGGUAUUUUGUUACCUUGCACAAUUGGUUCUGGUUUUCGUAGCGAGGAAGGGGAGAAAGAGCUAUACAUUUUACUGAGGCCACAUGGAUAACCUCUUGACAUCUUGACAUACACGCCACCAGCUUUUGAGAUUUCAGCUGGGGAUCUUUCAAGCCUAUUUUUUCCGGCCAAUAAGGGAUAGAAGCUUGCUGUUAUUCAAAUGAGACUUUCUGAAGGCUAGAUUCUGGAGUCCAUUCUACACUCCUUGUAGAAAGGCUUUGUAUUUUCCAUAGUACAAUGCAAUACACUUUGUGUGCUCCAAGAACGUGACACUCCCAGAAGCGACAUAUCUUGUAGGUAGAUCAUGGAUCUCAGUCAUGCAGUUUUCUGGGCAUGGGAGUUGGGAGGCACAAUCCCACAGAAAAGCCUUUGCAGACAAGGAAAGAUGCUUUGGGUCAGGAGGGGUCAGGAGGUGGGGCUUGUGUUGUGAUCAUGUGGGAAGAUGUGACAAAAUGUUAAUGGGAUCCGAAAAGAUAAGAUUUCUGUGAACAAGACUAUUAUUGGCCUUACAGGGUUUGGUUUUGUCUUUAACUGCUCCCCCAGGAACCACUUUCCUAUUAGUCAGAGACAGAACAGUAGCUGUUCCUCUGACAUAUGUCAGCUCUGAGGUUGAACAGGAGAGCAACGAUGCGGCUACUGGCAUGUGUACCAACAGAGGCAUUAUUCUAACCACACUUUAUAUCCAGAAUGAACUGACAAUCACCACACAGCAGAUAUUUUACACCCUAGUCUAGGUGCUAUCCUACUGAGGGGGCAUGUAAGAAACAGGGAUUGUUUGUCCUUUGAAAUGUUAUUGUCAUUCAUUCCCAUGAAUAGAUGGUACCUACCACAUUGCUUCCCUCGAGAAAUGCUACUGGUCUCUUCUUGUCUGUAGACACAGGGGCAGAUGGGCCUAAGCUUAAAUAUUUAACUUCACCAGCUUUUUCCAUUCAUGGCUCAGUGGGAAUGGUGAGCUUUGGACAGACAGGCUUACCAGUUAGCCAUUCUUGUAUCAGUCUGGUCACUCUGGCCAGUUACCAGUAUGGGAGCAUAGGAGUCAAUUCCCAGGGGUCAAGGAGUCUUUGCCCCUCUCAAUAAAAUAUUUGACCAUGUUAUGCGAUUGAUUAUGCUGGGUGGGGCUUACCUCCCCCCCCCCAUAUUUUAUUCAAGUUGGCACCCCUGUAUGGGAGUAAGUAAGUAAAACUCAGAACUCACUUGACAAAGAGGGUGUUUUAUUGUUGUUGUUCAUCCCAGCCUGAGAGAAGAAGAAGAAGAAGAAGAAGAAGAAGAAGAAGAAGAAGAAGAAGAAGAAGAAGAAGCAGCAGCAGCAGCAGCAGCAGCAGCAGCUUAGCCAAGGUGGGAUUUCUGUUCCACAGAGUACUCCACCAAAUUAUGCCAACUGCAGAAAUCAAGGCCUAGGAAAUAUUUAUACCCUUGUGAACUCAUGAGCCAGGGAUGGUGGGAACUGUACUUCAGAAACAUAUGGAGGGCACCACAUUCACUACCACUGGUGUAAACCAUUCCUCUUGAAGGCCCAAAUCAUAGAAUGAUCUCUUGCUCUUUGACUCUUGGCAUUUCCCAUGGCAUGUUACCUGUACAUUUCUUAGGAAUAGCUGUUGCAGUGUUGUCAUCAACCUUGUGGUGACGGAUACGUGUUAGGCAGCACCUGUUAAGAUGCAUAUAACAUUCCUGCUUACUUUAUAAAUUUGAUGUAUGAAAAAAAUUACUGGCACAACGUCUCAAGAACAGAACAAACCAUCACGUUUUACUGUCUCCAGAGCAGAUAUUCUGGCGUAAUUUCUUAUUCAUACCACAACUAUAAAGCUGACU
rnacentral:lncRNA from 1 species